rnacentral:rRNA from 1 species
CUACGGAGGGUGCGAGCGUCAAUCGGAAUUACUGGGCGUAAAGCGCGCGUAGGCGGCUUGUUAAGUCAGAUGUGAAAGCCCUGGGCUUAACCUGGGAACUGCAUUUGAUACUGGCAGGCUAGAGUAUGGUAGAGGGAAGUGGAAUUCCGGGUGUAGCGGUGAAAUGCGUAGAGAUCCGGAGGAACACCAGUGGCGAAGGCGACUUCCUGGACCAAUACUGACGCUGAGGUGCGAAAGCGUGGGGAGCAAACAGGAUUAGAUACCCCAGUAGUCC